rnacentral:rRNA from 1 species
AUUGAACGCUGGCGGCAGGCCUAACACAUGCAAGUCGAGCGGAGCGGCGGACGGGUGAGUAAUGCCUAGGAAUCUGCCUGGUAGUGGGGGAUAACGUCCGGAAACGGGCGCUAAUACCGCAUACUAUCAGAUGAGCCUAGGUCGGAUUAGCUAGUUGGUGGGGUAAAGGCCUACCAAGGCGACGAUCCGUAACUGGUCUGAGAGGAUGAUCAGUCAACAUGGAACCGGGACCCGGUCCCGACUCCCACGGGGGGCCACAGUGGGGAAUAUUGGACAAUUGGGGAAAGCCUGAACCAACCAUGCCGGGGGUGUGAAGAAGGUCUUCGGAUUGUAAAGCACUUUAAGUUGGGAGGCGUUACCAAAAGAAUAAGCACCGGCUAACUUCCUGCCAGCCCCCGCGGUAAUAC